UACGAAGGGGGCUAGCGUUGCUCGGAAUCACUGGGCGUAAAGCGCACGUAGGCGGAUCUUUAAGUCAGGGGUGAAAUCCUGGAGCUCAACUCCAGAACUGCCUUUGAUACUGAGGAUCUUGAGUCCGGGAGAGGUGAGUGGAACUCCGAGUGUAGAGGUGAAAUUCGUAGAUAUUCGGAAGAACACCAGUGGUGAAGGCGGCUCACUGGCCCGGUACUGACGCUGAGGUGCGAAAGCGUGGGGAGCAAACAGG
rnacentral:rRNA from 1 species